AUGAAUCUCCUUGCUUGGAACAGUCGAGGAUUGGGGUUGGACUCGAUAGUGGGCGAACUGCGAGACCUCAUUAGGUCUCACAACCCAGCGGUGGUGUUCCUUUCAGAAAUAAAAAAAUUAGCUAGAGCUAUGGAACGGUUGAAAUGGAGUCUGGGAUUCACUAGUGGAGUUGCGGUGAGUUGCAAUGGAAGAAGUGGGGACUUGGCAUUGUGGUGGAGGGAUCAUAUUCAAGUUAUAGUGAGGCUGUGGUGCCAAUACUUUCUGGAUGUUGAGGUUGCUUGGGAGGGUAAACUCUAUAGGAUCACUGGAUUCUGUGGAGAACCCAAAACUGAAUUGAGGAAAAAUCAUGGGAUGCUAUUCGUUUUCUUCGGGACCAAGAUAAUCUACCCUGGCUCUGUGUCGGUGACUUUAACGAGGCCCUCUUCUGUACUGAUCAAGUGA
rnacentral:rRNA from 1 species